UGGGGAAUUUUCCGCAAUGGGCGAAAGCCUGACGGAGCAAUACCGCGUGCGGGAGGAAGGCCUUUGGGUCGUAAACCGCUUUUAACAGGGCAGAAGAUCUGACGGUACCUGUUGAAUAAGCAUCGGCUAACUCCGUGCCAGCAGCCGCGGUAAGACGGAGGAUGCAAGCGUUAUCCGGAAUUAUUGGGCGUAAAGCGUCCGCAGGUGGCUUACCAAGUCUGCUGUUAAAGCCCAGGGCUCAACCCUGGAUCAGCAGUGGAAACUGGUAGGCUAGAGUGCGGUAGGGGCAGAGGGAAUUCCCAGUGUAGCGGUGAAAUGCGUAGAUAUUGGGAAGAACACCAGCGGCGAAGGCGCUCUGCUGGACCGUAACUGACACUCAUGGACGAAAGCUAGGGGAGCGAACAGGAUUAGAUACCCCGGUAGUCC
rnacentral:rRNA from 1 species